UACGUAGGAUGCAAGCGUUGUCCGGAUUUACUGGGCGUAAAGCGCGCGCAGGCGGCACUCUAAGUACGUCGUGAAAUAUCCCGGCUCAACCGGGAGGGUGCGAUGUAGACUAGGGAGCUUGAGGUCGGUAGAGGGGGGUGGAAUUGCUGGUGUAGCGGUGAAAUGCGUAGAGAUCAGCAGGAACACCCGUGGCGAAGGCGGCCCCCUGGGCCGUACCUGACGCUGAGGCGCGAAGGCUAGGGGAGCGAACGGG
rnacentral:rRNA from 1 species